rnacentral:tRNA from 1 species
GUCCAGGGAUGGGAAUCGAACCCAUAGUUUUCCGCUUACCGGGCAGAUUCCAUGUCCACUAAGCUACCCUGGA